CCAGACUCCUACGGGAGGCAGCAGUGGGGGAUAUUGCACAAUGGGCGCAAGCCUGAUGCAGCGACGCCGCGUGAGCGAAGAAGCAUUUCGGUAUGUAAAGCUCUAUCAGCAGGGAAGAAAAUGACGGUACCUGACUAAGAAGCUCCGGCUAAAUACGUGCCAGCAGCCGCGGUAAUACGUAUGGAGCAAGCGUUAUCCGGAAUUACUGGGUGUAAAGGGUGCGUAGGCGGACGCUUAAGUCAGCGGUAAAAUUGCGGGGCUCAACCUCGUCGAGCCGUUGAAACUGGGUGCCUUGAGUGGGCGAGAAGUACGCGGAAUGCGUGGUGUAGCGGUGAAAUGCAUAGAUAUCACGCAGAACUCCGAUUGCGAAGGCAGCGUACCGGCGCCCAACUGACGCUGAAGCACGAAGGCGUGGGUAUCGAACAGGAUUAGAUACCCGCGUA
rnacentral:rRNA from 1 species